CGUAGGGGGCAAGCGUUGUCCGGAAUUAUUGGGCGUAAAGCGCGUGUAGGCGGUCCGAUAAGUCGGCUGUGAAAGUCCAGGGCUCAACUCUGGGAUGCCGGCCGAUACUGUCGGACUAGAGUUCGGAAGAGGCGAGUGGAAUUCCCGGUGUAGCGGUGAAAUGCGCAGAUAUCGGGAGGAACACCAAUGGCGAAGGCAGCUCGCUGGGACGUUACUGACGCUGAGACGCGAAAGCGUGGGGAGCAAACAGGAUUAGAUACCCUGGUAGUCCACGCUGUAAACGAUGGGCACUAGGUGUGGGAGGUGUCGACUCCUCCCGUGCCGGAGCUAACGCAUUAAGUGCCCCGCCUGGGGGAGUACGGGCCGCAAGGCUA
rnacentral:rRNA from 1 species